UAAGGAAUAUUGCUCAAUGGGAGAAAUCCUGAAGCAGCAACGCCGCGUGGAGGAUGAAGGGUCUAUGACUUGUAAACUCCUGUAAAGAAGGAAAAAAUUCCCAUUUGAUGGGAGAUGAUGGUACUUCUGGAGUAAGCCCCGGCUAACUACGUGCCAGCAGCCGCGGUAAUACGUAGGGGGCAAGCGUUGUCCGGAUUUACUGGGUGUAAAGGGUGCGCAGGCGGGAUGUUAAGUCGGCGGUGAAAUUUUGCAGCUCAACUGUAAAAGUGCCUUCGAUACUGGCCUCCUUGAGUGUGGAUGAANUAGGCGGAAUUUGUGGUGUAGCGGUGAAAUGCUUAGAUAUCACGAGGAACUCCGAUUGCGCAGGCAGCUUACUAAGCCACAACUGACGCUCAUGCACGAAGGCGUGGGGAUCAAACA
rnacentral:rRNA from 1 species